UACGGAGGGGACUAGCGUUGUUCGGAAUUACUGGGCGUAAAGCGCACGUAGGCGGAUCAGCAAGUUAGGGGUGAAAUCCCGGGGCUCAACCCCGGAACUGCCUUUAAAACUGUUGGUCUGGAGGUCGAGAGAGGUGAGUGGAAUUCCGAGCGUAGAGGUGAAAUUCGUAGAUAUUCGGAGGAACACCAGUGGCGAAGGCGGCUCACUGGCUCGAUACUGACGCUGAGGUGCGAAAGCGUGGGGAGCAAACAGG
rnacentral:rRNA from 1 species